rfam:Gorilla gorilla gorilla genomic chromosome, chr11, whole genome shotgun sequence
GUUGGGCAUGGGGGCACAUGCCUGUAGUCCCAGCUGCUGGGAGGCUGAGGUGGGAGGAUCCCUUGAGCCCAGGAGUUUGAGCCUGCAGUGAGCUAUGAUUGCACCACUGCACUCCAGCCUGGGCAACAGAGUGAGACCCUAUCUCAA